UUUUUCUAGUUGUUUUAUUUCAUUUUGAACUACCCGUUCAUGUACAAUUAGAAUAAAAACACAAUUUUAUUUUUAAAAAUGUAUUUUGUUUGGCACAAAAUAACAACAAAAGUCAAAGGUUCCCAUGAAUGCAUGCACCAAAGAUGAUGACAGAAACAUGUAUAAAAACUGUGACGCAGACAGUGUGGAACAGGCCCAAACUGUUCAAAUCAGCUGCAUUCAGAUGCUGCCUCGGUUGGCUUGCUCCUUCAAACCUGGCUAAAAAAUUUUUUUGCAUCUUUUUUUUGUAGUCUACAGUGGGGUUUGGAUUAAAGGGCAGCAGACCUUGAGACGAUCCACCCAGCCAGACUGACAGGACCAGCUCAUCACAGCGGGUGCUGUCGCCCCAGGAGGGGAGGAAGCGAGCCGAAAUAGGAACCAUGCUGGCCCAGCUUGGACUUAAGGCUGCUCCUGGCUAAUGUCCGAUCUGGAAAUGAGAUUCAGGCUGGUCAAACAACUUGAAAUCAGAGACUGUUGUAUCCACAUCUUUACAGAGACCUGCUUCAUCAAGCGCUCGUCAGGCGGACUGUGUUCCGCGCAGACAGAACGCAGGACGAGAGGAGGCGGACUCUGUCCAUCGAUGAGGCUUGGUGCUCAAAUGCAGUCAAAGUGGAUGGACGCAGUUUCUUUUUCACUAUCUCACUAUCUUGUUGCUGCUGUUUACAUUCAACCAGAUGCAAAUUCCCUGGGUGUAUACUAUGAUCAGAUGGCAAAGUGGCCUGGCUUGGUCCAUGACUCCCAAGUCCUUCGGGCCUGUACAAUUACCCAGCGACUAUCUGAAGGUGAAUACUCUGGCGUGUUGCUGGAAGACAAGGGUUAUGCCUGUCAGCCGAGUACAAGGCUGACCUGCUCGGACGUGUUUGGCGUGAACAGACCAUGCAGCAUGCCUGUUGGAAGCAUAAGGUUGGGAGACACGACUGAGCAGAGCACAGAGUUGGAGAAACGCGGUUUGCAAACUUUACAGCUUGGAUGAUGACGGGGAUAUUACGGGCGAACUGAUGAAGAUCACAACACGAUGUGGCAUACCUGCAGCCCGUGCAAAGAUCGUCCUGGAGGGAACAGAGGUCCUAACGGAUGUGGAUAUUCCCAGAGCCUGUGCCUUGAUAAUGGGGCUGAUAUACGCACUCAACCUCAGCUACCCAAAAGAACUGAAAAAUACUUUUGAAGUGUUUCAAAAGAUAUUCCUCGAGUUGGACGUUCUGAAAGCAAGUCCUAAGGUAAUGUUGCCAAAAUAUAAACUGCUGUGCUAAAACAAAAAAUGUGAGGAGUUAAAGAGACAUUGAAGCUGUCCUCUAAUUAAAGAGGAAAUGUUGCACUGUUAUUUGCAAUGUGUUGUUUACAUGCUUGACAUGGACAGCCCAGUUAAACCCAGGACUGAAGUUAGCUAACAGAAAGGAAGAGGAUCCUCUGAAUGAAUUAAUGAAUGACUCUUAUUAAAGACAACAAAAAGGAGCUCUAAGUCUAGAUUGUUAUUUAAUUGUAAUGACACGUGUUGAUCAACCCUGACCUCAAGGUCCCCUUUGUAUAGCAGUCUUGGAGCUUUCGAUUGUAUCACAUGCUCUUCGUCAGCAGACGGAGAUCGCUCAGUUGUUGUGGAAUUGAAGAUGUUCAGAUUUUCAUUUUUUGAGCACUUUAAGGACUUCUCAUCCAUGUUGGCUUAAAGUUCUUAUCAUAAGUUUAUUUGUGAAAUUGAAAAAUGCAGUUAGCAAAAAAAUCCACCACAGUGUCCAAGGAGCUGCUGUUUCCAAGGUCAGGAAUGAACUUUCAAUUUUAACUUAAUGACAGAUAUAUACGCCUAGCAGCCCUGUUAGGGAACAUUACAGUGGCAAAAGCUCUCUGUUCUCAUCAGACAUCAAGUGUACAACAUUUUCAUUUUCAAGGCGUAGAAGUAGAAAGUCUGAUUUUUUGUCAUGUUCUACUGCCGGAUAUGGUGAAAGUUUCAGAAGAACAUUCUUUUUAAUAAAAAUGACCUACUGCAGCUUUAAAGAACAAGAAGUUUUACUUCAAAUAUGGUUUUAAAAAAUGAACUACAAAACAAACUAAUGGUUUUGAUAUCCCAUUAUGCUUUGAAUGCAUGAUAAGUUUGGUUUUAAUUAUGUGUGUGUACUGUUUGUGCAAACAUGUCUGUAUAUAUAUGUAAAAGUGAGCAUACGCAGAUACAUGCAUUUACAGUGGAUAUAUAUACAUUCAUAUAUACAUGUCUGUGUGUAUACAUGACUAAAGCUUACUUAUUGCCUGGACUGUGGAGCUUGUUCAUAAAUGUUAUAAACUUUUGAGAAGAGUAUACCUAGUAAACUACAGCUUCUGAAUCCACAUUAUCUUUUUACAGAGUCUGUGUUUGCUUAUUCUCUGUCAUCUGAGUUUGAUUAUCCAACAGCAUAGCUAGUGAACAUUGUCUACUCUAAAAUUUUUGUUGUUGGAGCUUAGAUAUCAAAUGGCAAAGUGAAUUUUAUUGUAUACCGACAUGUACUGAAUAAAAUAGGUAGGACGUUGUCUGAUGAUUAGUGGAGUGUAGGUGUCCUUAACAGAGAAUGACGUCACACUCCCUGUUCCUGUGUUGAUCCCCGAGCAUUGUUUACUUCUCCAGUCCAGCCGUACAUGCAUGUGUAUCCCUCAGUGUGCAACUGUUGGCUUUGAAGAAACUGCUGUUUUUCUCAUCUUUCUCUGUGAAUUGAGGAUUUAUUUCAACCAAAGCAGAGCUGGUUAUUGUUGGAACAGUGGAAAGACUAACAAAGAUGGUUUUAUUGAGAUUUAUUUUGUUUCUGACAACUUUGAAUGAGGGAUGUUCCGAUGAUAUGCAAGUUUGACUUAGUCUAUGGAGUCUGGUGGCGAGUGAUAGGGGCUGUUUCUGGUUAAACUAAAGGGAUCCUUUCCAUAAUGUUGUCACACAACAAUCUGAAUCCAAAGGCAAAAACAAAAACUUUUAGUGGACGCACUUUGACCAACGCAAGGAUUACGACGUGUUAUGUUACAGGAAUGAGCCGAGAAAGACAGAAAGACGCUUUGUGUUGGUGGCUUGAAGAUAGUUGAUUGUUGAUUCUCAUUCUAAAUGUUGGUAUUCAACGACCUAGGAAUGAGACUCAACAAUCUUUCUCAGCUCUGAUUGGUUUUUGUCAUUGAGGCCCGGUGGAUUCUUGGAAAUACCAUUAGGAGCACUAGGAGGAGCCAGAGGAAGCUGCUGCAGCUGUAAUGCUAUUGCUGGAUAAAGUGAUCAGGGGGUUGACACAAGAGAAGUUCUCACCAUAACUUUUAGGAUUCAUCCUUUGCAAAUUUCAGAACAUUUCAUGGAAAUCAUUUUUUAAACGGACCAAAAAAUGAUGUCAAAAUGAUGAGCAAUCAUUCUCUCUGCUUCUCUUUGUUCAAAAAGGAAUGAAGAAACUGAACAUCUGAGACAAGACAUACUGUAUACCCAUAAUUCCCUCAUUCUCUCUAUAGGAUCCUGUCUCUCUCCAUGGUAAUCUCUUCAUUACUCUGAAUCUUUUUGUUUGUCUGUUCAGGUCCAGAAACCUUCUAGUGAAUCUCACAUGGAUAUGCUGUAGAGCACAGGCAGCUGUAAUGACACAACAUUCAGCUGACGUUGCUCUUUGGGAAUAUAUUUAUCUCUUCAGGUAGUGGAGAGAGGGCAUCAAUAACCUGCAAUCAAUUAGAGUGAUGGGUGAUAAAACAGAAUACACUCCUUGUAAACAGCACGAGUGAGAUGUAGCAUCACUCAGCAUUGGCUCACACUCAUAGCCUGCUGUAAGCUUGCUGCAGAGCCAAAGAUUAUGUGAAUAGAACUGGCAGGAGAAAAACAAACCUUGACCUUUGACUCCACAGGUUGUAUGACAUGUUGAAGUUGGUUCAAGUAGAGUUGUAUUGGAGCUUAAACGUGUGUGCUCCUGCCCUCUUUCCAAAGGAAGACAGGUCCCUCCCAGCCAUUGUUCUCCUCACACAGAGGUCAUCAACAUCAUCAUGGUGGUCCUGCGGCACAGGAAGAAACAAUGACACCAGGGGAGAGGGGCUUCCUAUGGAGGCUGGGGAUUCAUAGUGACUUAAGAGGUUAGCAUAAGUCAGCCUGUAAACAUUUACUUUAGAAAAUGUGCAUUAGGACUACCAGUAGGGGGUUUAGUGACAAAACAAAUACCAACAUAUGUCAAUUGAAGUUAUUCAUUUAUUUAUUUCUGUAAAUUCUGUAGUUACACAAAAGGAUACCACUGUUACCACUGCUGCUUUGUCUAUUAGUACAGUACAGUGUUGAUGAAUUGUUGAUUAAUAGCCACCAAAGUACAGCACCAAAUGUGUAUUAUUUCCUCCUGUUUGAGUAACGUUUGUUAAUAAUAACAGUGACCAGCUGACCUUUCUGUUUACAACAAGACUUCAUAUUUGUGUAUGUUAUAUAUUAUAUCAGUAGAAAUGGCCUGAAAUGACACAUGAAAUAACUUAAGGCAUUGGCGCAUUAUUCAUAUAUAUAUUGACACAGAAACUAAUGGGCCUGGGGUUGAACAGUGUUACCAGCUGUACAAUAAUCGUCAUAUUUAAUUAAAAAGCAUAAUAAAAUCAGCAUUGUCAUGUUUUGUCAGUUCAAAAAAAUCAGCAUACAUGAUAGGAUGGGCUGUCUGUCCUGUAGCCUCCAUAAUGAAAGUUGACCUGUAGUCCAUUUCAGCCAAUUGAACUCAUGGAUAUAUUGUGAAAAGGCUGUAUAGGUCUGCGCAGUUCUGGG
rnacentral:lncRNA from 1 species